rnacentral:rRNA from 1 species
ACGCUCGACACCUACGGGGGCAGCAGUUAGGAAUAUUGGGCAAUGGAGGGAACUCUGACCCAGCAACGCCGCGUGAAGGAAGAAGGUUUUCGGGCUGUAAACUUCUGAUCUAAGGGAAAAAGAAAGUGAUGGUACCUUAGGAGAAAGCCACGGCUAACUACGUGCCGGCAGCCGCGGUAAUCUGAGCGGGCUGGCAAGGC